rnacentral:rRNA from 1 species
AACGAACGCUGGCGGCGUGUUUAAGACAUGCAAGUCGCACGGGAUAAGACAUGUAGUAAUACUUGUUUUAUUUAGUGGCGCACGGGUGAGUAACACGUGAAUUACAUGCCCUAUAGUGGGGAAUAGCCCAGGGAAACUUGGAUUAAUACCCCAUGGUAUCGAAAGAUUAAAGGUGGCAGCAAGGCUGUCGCUAUAGGAUUGGUACGCGCCCUAUCAGCUUGUUGGUGAGGUAACGGCUCACCAAGGCAAUGAGGGGUAUCUGGUUUGAGAGGACGAUCAGGCACACUGGAACUGAGACACGGUCCAGACACCUACGGGUGGCAGCAGUCGAGAAUAAUUCACAAUGGGGGCAACCCUGAUGGUGCAACGCCGCGUGGAGGAUGACGGUCUUCGGAUUGUAAACUCCUGUCAUCUGGGAGAAAGACCUGACGGUAAAUAGCCGGCAGGGUUGAUAGUACCAGAAGAGGAAGGGACGGCUAACUUCGUGCCAGCCGCCGCCGUAA